GCCGAAAGGAUUCGCGCCCUUUCGUCCCGUGCCCUUGGAGCUGCUGAGGCCACCAUGGAGGCCGCAGCGGCACCGCGACCCCGCCGGCAGCGCCCGGACCCCGCCGGGACCGCGGAAAUGCCUCCCCGCAGAAAGAUGUCGUGAAGUAAAGAAGCUGGGCCUUCCACCUGGCUGUGACACAGCAGCACCAGGAGCAGCUGGGAGAGGUGGCUCUGAUGUGAAGGUAGAGCCUGCAGGGCUGUGCUGGUGGUGAUGUCCCCCCAUUGAUGGCACAGCUCUCCCCGAGUCCUGUGGAGGGCACUGGGACAGCAGAGCAGGAGAAUCUGCUGGGUGCUGCUGCUGCAAACAUCUCUGAGGCACAAGGACUCCCAACAAAACACCUGAGCUUGAGGAGUUUGUGUAGACAGAACAUUUUUCUGCCUGUUACAAAGUGAGCAGGAGGAGGAGCUGUUAAUUUUCCAACUCUCCUUCAUCUCAGAAGUGAGGCACAAAGGAGCUGCUGUUGGUGUCCUGCAAGAAAAGUGUCCCAGGUUUGUUUUCUCCCAGCUAAAGGAUGUCAAAAGCUUUGUUACAAUUUCUGAGACAUCACAGGCAGCAACUCCUGAGCUGCUCAGAGCAGAAACUCAAAACAACCAGGGGGACUUUGGCCUUUCUCAGGCUCAGGGUGUUCCUGGCACCCCCUGACCUUGUGCUGCCAGAGCUGGAGCACAUUUCUGUGUUCCUGUGAGGAAGGACAAGGUUAAUGCAUCAUUUAAUGCUCUGCCAGGACAAACAUCCCCUUCUUUGUCACCUCAUGUCAUUUAGUGCCUUAAUUUUACACUUCAGCCCAGCUGUUAUGAACUGAUCCCAAACAUGGGGAGGGCUGAACAGGUGGGGUUUGAUUCAGGGUGUGCAAGGAGAGCUUAUUUAAAGAACUUGGAGCAUUUUCUGCUCCUGUGCUCUAAUUCAGAGUCACAUCUGUCCUGCUUUACUCCAGCCCACAAGGUGGGGCAGUGACCAAGCUCAGAGCAUUUGAAAUAAAAAAGAUUUUUGCAGCCUUGAAGAUUCUUUGGGGAAACUUGGUUUUUCUGCUGCUUCCUUCCCUGUUUGUAAUAAGAUUUGCAACUUUCAUUACUGUGUAGAGAAUCCCACACACAGUGAUAAUGUCACUCUUUAAUUAGCUGUUAAUUAAUGUGUCUCCGUGUUGGACCAGCAAAGCCUCAUUUGAUGAGGUUUGAUGCUGUGCAAACUUGCAGUUCAUGGUUCCACUCCAAAGUGUGAGGAGGAGCCAGAGGAGUUAAAACUUAUUUUUAUUUGAUAAAAAUGAAGCAAGAUUUGCCCUUCAUUACCCUCCCCUGCCAUGCAGCUCAGGAGCUGCCAGGCUGUGCCUGCUCCAGGUGGAUUCUGAGUCAAUAAACACCCCCAGCCCAGCACCUGUGUGCAACUGAAACCUGAACAAAAUGCAAGUGAGGAAAGCACUCAGUGCAGGCUGAUUUCAAAUCCCUGCUGUUUUAAUCAAAUAGAGAUGUUAAAAGUUUAAUCUCCAAUAAUUGAGAUUUUUGUUUGUUAGACUCCUGUUCAUUUUUGCAAGUCAAUACUGGAUUUUUUUUCCAUAACAUUUUUUUUUAUUUGUAAUGGUUUGUGGUGAAAUCAUUGCACAGCCCAGCUGCAGCACAAACUCUAAACAGAUAAUGAUUGAUGUUUCUGAAGUUGCCUGUGGCUUUCUGCUGGGCUCUCCUUGGUUUUCUUUAUCAUUUUGAUUUAUUUCCCAGAUGUUCUGAUUGCUUUCUUGCUCGUGCUUUCCCAGAUCCUGUCAGAUAGUCACUCUAGGUUUGAUUUUCUUGGUUUUUUGUGUAUUUUGUGCACUUGCAAACUGCACCUAAAGGUUUGUUGGGUGCUGUUACCACUGAGCAGUGGAAUAGGCUUGAGGUUUAACAGCACAUUAAAGACAAACUCCCAGCUAAGCCUGAGGUUAUCAGCCAUAAUAAAAAAUAAUAAAUUUU